rnacentral:lncRNA from 1 species
UCUCUUCUUUUCUUUUCUUUUCUUUUCUUUUCUUUUCUUUUCUUUUCUUUUCUUUUCUUUUCUUUCCUUUCCUUUCCUUUCCUUUUCUUUUCUUUUCUUUUCUUUUCUUUUCUUUUCUUUUCUUUUCUUUUCUUUCCUUUCCUUUCCUUUCCUUUCCUUUCCUUUCCUUUCCUUUCCUUUCCUUUCCUUUCCUUUCCUUUCCUUUCCUUUCCUUUUCUUUUCUUUUCUUUUCUUUUCUUUUCUUUUCUUUUCUUUUCUUUUCUU